GACGUACGCUGGCGGCGUGCCUAAUACAUGCAAGUUGAGCGAUGAAGAUUGGUGCUUGCACCAAUUUGAAGAGCAGCGAACGGGUGAGUAACGCGUGGGGAAUCUGCCUUUGAGCGGGGGACAACAUUUGGAAACGAAUGCUAAUACCGCAUAAUAACUUUAAACAUAAGUUUUAAGUUUGAAAGAUGCAAUUGCAUCACUCAAAGAUGAUCCCGCGUUGUAUUAGCUAGUUGGUGAGGUAAAGGCUCACCAAGGCGAUGAUACAUAGCCGACCUGAGAGGGUGAUCGGCCACAUUGGGACUGAGACACGGCCCAAACUCCUACGGGAGGCAGCAGUAGGGAAUCUUCGGCAAUGGACGAAAGUCUGACCGAGCAACGCCGCGUGAGUGAAGAAGGUUUUCGGAUCGUAAAACUCUGUUGGUAGAGAAGAACGUUGGUGAGAGUGGAAAGCUCAUCAAGUGACGGUAACUACCCAGAAAGGGACGGCUAACUACGUG
rnacentral:rRNA from 1 species